ensembl:lncRNA
AUGUCAUUUCUGUCACUUUUUGCUGUCAUCUGUGAGUUUGCUUACAGCAAAUACUUGUGUGAAAUCUGGCAACUGGUCUAUCAAUCUACCAUGCGGAAUGUUUUGGAGUCUCCAAAACGAGAAUUCAACCCUCAGAGGAAGCGUAAAGAGAAAUGGGUGUGCAUAAUUGCAGAAUGUCAGCAGGAACGGCUGGAGAUGUGCUCAGGGUUUUCAUCGAGGCAGCUGCCCAGACUUGCUACAUUCAGAAACAGCUGGUGCCGUCCAUCCAGCCCAGGCAAGCGCAGGUGGGCCUGUCACGACUGACCGCCCCAUCCCUGACCCAGCCUCCACCAUACGGCCCACAGCAGCCAGAGAGGAGGCUGUGCCAAAACUGUGUCACUCACAAAGACUGAAAUAAAAUGGAAGAUUUGGUACCCAAAGGCUUCUAUGCCCACUGUGGUGGUGAAGCAGAUGUUUCUUGUUGCUUCUGAUGAGCAGGAAGGUGUCUAAACCAUUGACAUCUAGUAAGGUUUUGAUGAUUGGCAAACAUGAUUUACAGAAAGAUGUAAAGAUUUUACUUUAUGAUGGAAUUCAGGGGCCAAAACUGCUAUAUUAUUAUUAUUUUUGAAUAUUUUGUAUUUCCCAAAACACUUCUUAAGAAUAUUCUUAUAUUUUGUUUAAAGUAAACAAGUGAAAUUCUUUUACAUUUUUUAUAUAAAAAUCAGAAAAAUUAAGAUGUUUAAUACGUUGUUUGAAAUAUUAAUCAUUACAAAACUCUAAAACUUUAUAAAACUUCCUUAAUGAGAACCUUAAGCUAUUGCCCACUGACAUUUUUCUUUUCUUUUCUUCCAUGUCAAAUUAACCAAACGUUUUCCAGCAAGUAAAAUCUCCUACAGCAGUGACUGUAGUUAGACUAUUCUUAUUAUGCCACUCUUUUGGAAUUAUUUUACAUUUGUUUGCAUGGUGCAACUUUCUGCUUAAUAAAUUGACACAUUUAAGAUUUGUCA